GUCGGGCAUGGUGGCGGGUGCCCGUAAUCCCAGCUACUUGGGAGACUGAGGCAGGAGAAUCACUUGAACCCAGGAGGAGGAGGUUGUGGUAAGCCGAGAUUACACCACUGCACACCAGCCUGGGUGACAGAGUGAGACUCUGUCUCAA
ensembl:misc_RNA Metazoa_SRP Metazoan signal recognition particle RNA